AUGAAUGUGCCCACUCAGCUCCUGGGGUUGCUGCUGCUGUGGCUUACAGCUGCCAGAUGUGACAUCCAGAUGACUCAGUCUCCAGCUUCCCUGUCUGCAUCUCUGGGAGAAACUGUCACCAUCGAAUGCCUAGCAAGUGAGGACAUUUACGGUAUUUUAGCGUGGUAUCAGCAGAAGCCAGGGAAAUCUCCUCAGCUCCUGAUCUAUAAUGCAAAUAGCUUGGCAGAUGGGGUCCCAUCACGGUUCAGUGGCAAUGGAUCUGGCACACGGUAUUCUCUGAAGAUCAACAGCCUGCAGCCUGAAGAUUUUGCAAGCUAUUACUGUCAAAAUGGUUUAAGUACCCCUCUCACGGUGAUUCAUGCCAUGACAUAA